rnacentral:rRNA from 1 species
UACGUAGGGGGCAAGCGUUAUCCGGAUUUACUGGGUGUAAAGGGAGCGCAGGCGGCGCGGCAAGUCUGAUGUGAAAGCCCGGGGCUCAACCCCGGGACUGCAUUGGAAACUGUCGCGCUCGAGUGUCGGAGAGGUAAGUGGAAUUCCUAGUGUAGCGGUGAAAUGCGUAGAUAUUAGGAGGAACACCAGUGGCGAAGGCGGCCGCCUGGCCUGUUAACUGACGCUGAGGCACGAAAGCGUGGGGAGCAAAUAGG